GCUGGGUGUGGUGGUGCACCCCUGUAAUCCCAGAGGCCUAGGAGGCUGAGGCAGGAGGAUCACAAGUUCAAGGCCAGCCUCAGCAACUUAGUAAGAACCUAAGCAACUUAGCAAGACCCUGUCUCUA
rnacentral:sRNA from 1 species